AAAUAGAUACCCGGGUAGUCCACGCCGUAAACGAUGAGUGCUAAGUGUUAGAGGGUUUCCGCCCUUUAGUGCUGCAGCUAACGCAUUAAGCACUCCGCCUGGGGAGUACGGCCGCAAGGCUGAAACUCAAAGGAAUUGACGGGGGCCCGCACAAGCGGUGGAGCAUGUGGUUUAAUUCGAAGCAACGCGAAGAACCUUACCAGGUCUUGACAUCCUCUGACAACCCUAGAGAUAGGGCUUUCCCCUUCGGGGGACAGAGUGACAGGUGGUGCAUGGUUGUCGUCAGCUCGUGUCGUGAGAUGUUGGGUUAAGUCCCGCAACGAGCGCAACCCUUGAUCUUAGUUGCCAGCAUUCAGUUGGGCACUCUAAGGUGGCUGCCGGUGACAAACCGGAGGAAGGUGGGGAUGACGUCAAAUCAUCAUGCCCCUUAUGACCUGGGCUACACACGUGCUACAAUGGAUGGUACAAAGGGCUGCAAACCUGCGAAGGUAAGCGAAUCCCAUAAAGCCAUUCUCAGUUCGGAUUGCAGG
rnacentral:rRNA from 1 species